UCUUAUCUAAAACAAAAUAAAAUCUAUCUAUUUUAUAGUUUUAUUUCUUCUAUCAAACAGUUAACUUUACCACUUAUUUAAGGUAAUUCAAAAGCUAGCAAACCAAAGCAAUCCUUCCUCAUUCUCUUGUCACCAUAGAAAGGUAAAAUUUAUUACAACAGGUUGUGACAUAUUGCAAACUCUAUAAUAUAUGAGGAAGUGGAAGGUAGCCGAAGGUAGCCGCUUCCACAGAGUAUAAAGUAGGUACAGCAGAAAUAAACAUAACAAGUCAAGCAAUUCACUUUCUGCUAAAAUUUGAUGCAAGUAUUUAAGACUAGUAAAAACAAGAUUAAAAAAUUAAUAGAAACUAUCAAUCACUAACUUUGGUCGACAAUAAAAUAUAAAACUUUAAGGAAAAUGAAAAUCCCACUAUUUGAAAUAAACAAAUUAAACAGCCCAACAUGGAAGAAAACAAAGGUUAUAAAUAAUAAUAAAACUAAAAAUUUAAUCUUUAUCAUAAGUGUCACACCAGCACAACCCAAAAAAAAAAACAUUAAUAUAUUCUUUAAGAAAAAAAAAAGUGUUAAUUAAUGACCAUAAGCUUCAAUAGCACCAUUAACAAGGAUGGUUUUUCCACGAAAACCCAUAACUAUGCUAAUCCUACCACUGUGCUAUCUCCAGGAAUCGCUAUUUCCUGCUAAAAAAAAAUAAUUUUGGAUAAAUCCACUAGUAAUGGGAAAAAAACUAUUCUGGAGAUAGCACACUUCCCACUAAUAAAAAUAUAAUUUUUUUUUAAAAAAAAAAAAUAAAUUAUAAAAAUUAUAAACAAACAAAUCAAGAACAGAUAUUCUUCCCCAUUCACACUCUCCCAGCACCAAAUUAAACAGUAUUAAAUUAUAAACUUUGUAGAGAUAAGAGUUCAGAUAUGGCAUCCAAAGCAAUUACAGGUCUUGGGAGUGAAAGAACAGAAACCAAAAGGCCUGUUGGGAAUGUUGCAAUUGAUGGCAUAGCAACAUGGAGAUGGCAAGCAGAGCCCUUUAGCUCCUCCACAGCAAGUACACAAAGCACAUAUCUGAAAGCUCCCCAACUUUCUUCUGCUCUCAUUCAUCAUCAUCUCCACUUUUCCUGUCUCUACCAGAGGAACCAGUGGUGGCACCUCCUUCAGGCUCUCCGCCGCCACAGACCCAUUUACCUUCAAAUCAGUAAACAUAGAAAGAAACACUCAAUCCAAAGAAUAAAUUAACAAUAUUGAUAAGAAAACUGAAGGGAUCUGUAAAAUAAAGGUGGGAUUUUUAGUUAUAAAAGAUAAAAGAGACUCACUUGGACUGAACUUGCUUCAGUGUUGGUAAUAACAGUAGCCAAGAAGAGCAGCAAAAUAAGAGAAAAGAUGACCCCAUAUGCAGGCAUCAUGGUUCUUGAGAAGGUUGGUACUUUGCUUAGUG